rnacentral:rRNA from 1 species
UCUGGUGACUAUAGCAAGGAGGUCACACCUGUUCCCUUGCCGAACAUAGAAGUUAAGCUCCUUAGCGUCGAUGGUUGUCGAUCUUACGUUCCGCUAGAUUAGAACGUUGCCAGGC